AUUGAACGCUGGCGGCAGGCCUAACACAAGCAAGUCGAACGGCAGCACAGUAAGAGCUUGCUCUUAUGGGUGGCGAGUGGCGGACGGGUGAGGAAUACAUCGGAGUCUACUCUUUCGUGGGGGAUAACGUAGGGAAACUUACGCUAAUACCGCAUACGACCUACGGGUGAAAGCGGAGGACCUUCGGGCUUCGCGCGAUUGAAUGAGCCGAUGUCGGAUUAGCUAGUUGGCGGGGUAAAGGCCCACCAAGGCGACGAUCCGUAGCUGGUCGGAGAGGAUGAUCAGCCACACUGGAACUGAGACACGGUCCAGACUCCUACGGGAGGCAGCAGUGGGGAAUAUUGGACAAUGGGCGCAAGCCUGAUCCAGCCAUGCCGCGUGGGUGAAGAAGGCCUUCGGGUUGUAAAGCCCUUUUGUUGGGAAAGAAAAGCAGUCGGUUAAUACCCGAUUGUUCUGACGGUACCCAAAGAAUAAGCACCGGCUAACUUCGUGCCAGCCGCCGCUGUAA
rnacentral:rRNA from 1 species